rnacentral:lncRNA from 1 species
UAAGAAAGUCCAGGCCCCAGUCUACAGGCCUGGCACAGAGUAAGGAAAGACCAGGAUCCCGUCCUAUGGUCUAGCACGAUUAUGGGACUUGAAGACCAGGAGCCAGAGGAGGCCCUGGGAAAAUGGUAAGUAAUGUAUGUUCUGACAGGAAAGACCAGGACCCCAUUCUACAGGCCUGGCACAGAGUUAACUUGGACUAAUUGGUGACGAGUUCACCCAACCCUUACGUGGAUUGUUUGUGUUAUGAUGCAUUUCAUAGAGCAUAGUGUUAAUGUGUUUUAAUAGCUCUACUCACUGGGCUUUUAGCUCACCCCUCUCCCUUUACCCCCAGGCUUGCAGGUACAGGAUAUAGCAGGAGUCAGGAUAGUGUAAAGAAGUCAUGUUUAUGUAAUAGCUAGCAAUGGACAUGAUCAAAUUGUAAUGUAAAAGUACAACAUAGUCAUGUAAUGAGUUUUAUGGAUGUUAGUGUGUGCUUGACCAUAGAAUGUUGUAUCCCUUUUUAUACAUGAUCUUAGAGAUUUUGAUGAUGUUUAUGUAAACCAGCUCAACACAGGUUAUGUUACCCUUUGAGGGCACAGAUGAGAUCCCACAGAG